rnacentral:rRNA from 1 species
GAUCAUGGCUCAGGAUGAACGCUGGCGGCGUGCCUAAUACAUGCAAGUCGAACGAGGUAGCAAUACCGAGUGGCGAACGGGUGAGUAACACGUAGGUAACCUGCCCUUAAGCUUGGGAUACCCAGAGGAAACUUUGGCUAAUACCGGAUAACAACAGAGAAGGCAUCUUCUUGCUUGAAAGGCCCCUUCAAGGGUCACUUAAGGAUGGACCUGCGGCGCAUUAGCUAGUUGGUGAGAUAACAGCCCACCAAGGCGAGGAUGCGUAGCCGAACUGAGAGGUUGAUCGGCCACAUUGGAACUGAGACACGGUCCAAACUCCUACGGGAGGCAGCAGUAAGGAGUUUUCGGCAAUGGGGGAAACCCUGACCGAGCAACGCCGCGUGAGCGAUGACGGCCCUAUUGGGUUGUAAAGCUCUGUUGUAAGCCAUGAAUGAUAGCUUGAGGAAAUGCAAGUUAUUUGACGACAGCUUACCAGAAAGCCACGGCUAACUACGUGCCAGCCGCAGC